rnacentral:rRNA from 1 species
CUACGGGAUGCUCCAGUGGGGAAUCUUAGACAAUGGGGGAAACCCUGAUCUAGCCAUGCCGCGUGAGCGACGACGGCCCUAGGGUUGUAAAGCUCUUUCAGCAGGGAAGAUAAUGACGGUACCUGCAGAAGAAGUCCCGGCUAACUCCGUGCCAGCAGCCGCGGUAAUACGGAGGGGACUAGCGUUGUUCGGAAUUACUGGGCGUAAAGCGCGCGUAGGCGGAUUGUUAAGUCGGGGGUGAAAUCCCGGGGCUCAACCCCGGAACUGCCCUCGAUACUGGCAGUCUUGAGUUCGAGAGAGGUGAGUGGAAUUCCGAGUGUAGAGGUGAAAUUCGUAGAUAUUCGGAGGAACACCAGUGGCGAAGGCGGCUCACUGGCUCGAUACUGACGCUGAGGUGCGAAAGCGUGGGGAGCAAACAGGAUUAGAUACCCUCGUAGUC